CCGGGUGCCGAAAGGACCCGGCAUGGAGAGUGCGUCCGCUCUCUCGGACGCUCUUCAUACACUCGUUGCUCAAAGGAGGACUUGUUUAUGAGGA
rfam:Sphingomonas sp. 66-10 SCNpilot_cont_300_bf_scaffold_1154, whole genome shotgun sequence.